rnacentral:rRNA from 1 species
AUGCCUUGCGUCGUCGGACCCCGGGUCGUCGUUUGGCCCGCCCGGGAUUUUUCCAUGCGUUGGCAUGCGGCGCACGGCAAGUGGGCGCAGCGUGUGGAGAGGGUGGGACGGCUACCCGAGGCCGAGGUCGAGGUCUCCGGUCCACGCCUGCGCGGCCACGGUGGAGGGAUCACUGAUGCAGAAUGUAACAAGCUAGCCGUGACUGUGCCUGUGGUGGGAACGGGCGCCCGUGAGCGGCGGGCGGACGACGACGACGACGUACGGCCCCGCAUUCCCAUGACGGCGAGGAGGCGAGACGGGAGGAUGGACUGCUGGAGUGAUUACUUGGAUUCUCUCUCUGGGCCUAGCUAG